rnacentral:rRNA from 1 species
UACGGAGGGGGGCUAGCGUUGUUCGGAAUUACUGGGCGUAAAGCGCACGUAGGCGGACCAUCAAGUUGGGGGUGAAAUCCCGGGGCUCAACCCCGGAACUGCCUUCAAAACUGUUGGUCUGGAGGUCGAGAGAGGUGAGUGGAAUUCCGAGUGUAGAGGUGAAAUUCGUAGAUAUUCGGAGGAACACCAGUGGCGAAGGCGGCUCACUGGCUCGAUACUGACGCUGAGGUGCGAAAAGCGUGGGGGAGCAAACAGGAUUAGAACUUACC